AGCCCAUUUUUUCCCCCCUCCUGACGUUCAAGCCCUGGUAGCUCGCUUAGUCCUCUGCGUUGUGGCUGCAGCGUCCCUGGUUCGACGCCGGGGUCAUGGCAUUAAGAUACAAUGUCACAGCAAAAGAGUACUUUUUUUAACCUCGUGUCUUUGAAAACAACUUUGGCUUCCCAACAAACAAACCUGAGACAGGGCUGGAGCUGUCGGGGUAGACUCACGUAUUCAGGUCUGGACUGCUGGGUGGCCAAGGUACAACGCUGGUCUGCAGGUUCUGCCCCGGGUCGUCCUUCAGGCAUUUGGCCUUCAUGUACUCUUCGGUGAACUGCUCCUUAAGGAUCAUCUUCUUAUUCUGCAGCUAGGAAUUCUCUCUGGCUGAGAUCUUAACCGGGGGACAGCAGGUCUGUCAGCUGCGACGGGGUUAACCUGUAGGGUUUAGGUUAGGUAACAUGUAAGGAGAUAUUACAAAAAUAUAUUUGGUAUCAAUUUGGUGUAAAUGCAAUGCUAUCCAGACAAAUAAACAUAUUUGUAGAAAUACAGUAGGUGUUUGCCUGUUGGUAAACCAGCAGUCCCUAUCAGAGGUGUAAUGGGAGGGGUGUGAGCUGAGAAGGGUCUGUUGGAGUAGCUAUAAAAGCUAUUUACUUUUCAAGCUGAUUAGUCAACUGCGCUUUCCUAUCGUCCCCGUCAUGUCAGGCCUAAAAAAUAUUAUGUGAAUAUAUAUGUGUGAAAAAAACCAGGAAGGACAAAUGCAUUUUGAGUGGAUUAUGCAGCAUGAAGCGUUAGCACACAGGUCAGAAGACUUCAUGUAGAAUAGAUUAAGCAGGGGAAGGGCAGGGGAAGGGGGAACUCAUGUUUCUGGGAUAUGUAGUGGAAAGGGGCAGGUGAGAGCAGGAGGUGAUGAUAAGAGUAUAAAGUAACAGGGAGUAGCUAUGCCGAUCCAAGAGUUUGUGGGACCAGGAUACAGCACACAGUAGGGUAUAGGAACGUGGCAGUCAUGACUGGUAGGACUAAACCAGACCGAAAGGGGUGUUUAGAGAUGGGAUAAAACCUUAGGUCAGAGAUAUAGCAACUACUUGCGCGACUCGAUGUUCCUCUGCCAGAGUUUCCACGUAUCUCUCCUGCCAGGUAAGGAACAACGUCCUCUUGUCUGUGAGGGUCUCUGUCGGAGAAAGCCUCCAGCUACUGAAGCCCUGAUUCCAAUUCAUCUGAUUGAAUUAGUAGAAAAGGCUCCUUACAUAUUAUGAGCAAAACGCAUGGAAUCUAACCUGGAAUGCUGUUCAGCAGCACCUUUAACUACUCCUUUGCCUCGGUUUCCUCAUUCAGGACCUUCUGCUACAGUUGUUUUGUUGGUACUAUAACAUAUGACGGUGAACAUACAUUUCCUAAAUUGCUUAAAAUACAUCAGUGUUUUUUUGUUGCUAAAUGAUGUCAGCACAAUCCUGAACAAUGGGUCGUUUCAAUACUUAACUGAUUUCCAGUUAUACAUUUAUACCUUGCUUCUCCCUGACCUUGGCUGCGUAGUAGGAGGGCAUCGGUGAGGGUGUCAAACACGAUGAGAAGGUGUCAUCUCUUUUUUGAUCUUCCCAAAUUUUCGAAGGUAGGACCACAACCCCUCCAUUUGUUCUCCAUCAGCAAGCUCACAGUCACAUACCUGGUACAAUCAGAAACCAGAAUAAGCAUUACAAUGGGUGAUGAUUAAGGGACUAGGACAAAUUACAACUAGCUGUUUCUUAAUACUGUUAGGGCAACUGUCUGCAACUACAAAGAAUUGGUGUUUAACAGAAUAAAUGAUAAAGAAAAAAAUGUAUUCAUUACCUGACUGUCAGCAUCAUGAGCGUAGGCCUGAAAGGCUGGCACUGCAAAUGUGUAAUCCAUCAGAUCGGGACUUAAAAAAAAAUAUAUAUAUAUAUAUAAAAUUGAGUGAAGGAGCGGUUAUUUUGUGUAAAAUAUGACUUAUGGUUACAAAGUCUGUAUAGAGCAAUCCGUUUCAAGCCAUUCAUAAUGGUAUCAAGCGAUUCAUAACUCUUACUACAGCAUAGUGGUUAAAUAUUAAAUGCAUUAUAAUAGCUAACAUAGAUUGAUUUGAUCAAUUUUACCUGUAAAUGAGGCUUCAGCUGGCAUGCAAUGUCAUAGUGAAGAAACGUUGUGAUGUCUGGUCCCUGUAUUGCUUUCAGGUCCCCCAGCAGAAACACAGCAGUUGCAAACAGGAAAUGACUGUUUAACAUCAGUCAUCGUAGCCAAUGUUAGAUAUAACUAAAAUACACCAGCUACACAUCUGAAGUAUCCACCCACCCACCCACAUGCAUCAAUCAACAUACUUCUCUUCUCUCUUCAGGUUCAGGAACUUCAGCGGAUGCUCAUGCUGGCACGCCAUCCUAAACACACCAGUUAUGUCCAGUUUCUGGGUUUUGGAUCACAGCACUUCCUCGCCCACUCCUGUAAAAUGCAGUGAAUAAGCAUGAGUGGAAAAAGUCACAUUUACCAAGCAGUUCAUGUUUCAUUUUGUCUGUUCAAUUUAAAAAAUAUUUGUAUGGACAGAAUAUUCCAAUGCUAGAGUCUCAUCACCAAGGAUAAAUGGCUCCUGAUUUCAAUCAAACCUUUUAACUUUUUCCACAUUAGCCCAGCUGUUGGUUAUACACACAAACACAAGUCACACAGAAGAGUGCUAGUGAAACUAAACUGAUUGUGAGAUUCAUCCCAUUCUUCAAAAUCCACUGUACCUCAGUUGGUGUGUCUGAUGCACCUCCUACAAAGCAGUCAAUUUUGUCUUGUUCACAAAAGAACUACCCAGCAUGUUUGGGACCCUCGAUGAUUGUCCCAGACUAUUUUUCUGGGAAGCCCAAAUAGGGCAUCAGCUGCAAUAAUUUGAUGACCGUUUUCCUUUAAAACAAUAAUGCAAAUAAUGACUUUUAUACAAAACUAUUAGGGAUACAGGGAAUGGACAUUUGCAAGGGUAUUACUUAAACCCUUUUGAUCUUUGGGAAACAUAAGAAAUUUACACUAGUUUCUUUGUGAAUGUAUUUGCAAUCGGUAGUAUACACUAAGCAGAUGAUUGGUCCACCUAGCUUUGCCAGAGCCCUGUUAUCCAGCGUGUUGUGGAUCCAGACAGGCCUUCAUGGCAACCGUAGCGUCCACCCACAAGACUUUGCCCUGUGGCAAUCCUGUACUUGACCUGUUUCCGCCUCCCAUGACUUUGACGAAGGAUUGGGUUUUUUGAGAGGCUUGCAAUGGUAUUGCCGCAAAACAUUACUACUGUUUGGCAAGGCAAUGAUAGUCAUAUAUAUGAGGUUGGAUAUAUUUCCUCUUAUAAAUUAUGAACAACCCUGAAUGUAAAUAAGAAUCCUAGCUUACUGAGACAUUAUAGUUGUUCCUUAAUUGUUAUCAUUGACAUGCCUGUGGACAGAGGACACUUUGUUCCGUCCGAGGUCAGUGGCACCAACUUCCUGACAGUCUCUCGGGGGGUGGUAAGGUAGAGUCUGUGGCAGAUCAGGGUGACAGGUUCCAGCUCACAGCUGCAGUCAGAUGUCAUGAGGACAUUCUGUUUCUUAAAUUGCAUUACUAAACAUUACUUCCGAUGUUUGUGAGAUUCAUUCCUCUUAAGAACUUUCGAAAUGACUCCAUUUUUAUCAUAACAACCGAGUGAACAGGGUUAUGGUAAGCUAGAAACAAUUAAAUCAAAGUUAUUUUUGGAGGAAUACAGUAUAGUGCGCACAAUACAAUGAAAUAAGAUGACUACAGUAUAUUAAGUACAGUAGUUGCCAUAAGCAAAGCGUCAGUUCAGUUUUCAUCAACAGUCUUAUGGCUUGGAGGAAGAAACUGUCUCUGCUACAAUUGAUUCUCUGAUACAAUUUGCAAGAUGCUAAAAGAGCCAGAUGUCAUAGUUUUCAAUUUGGAUGUAAGGCCUACCUCUAACGUCAACAACUGUCAAGACUGUUGUACUGGCUUUGACAGUCAGGGUCACCUUGUCUCUUCCACUCCCAUUGUAGGCCCACUGGGACACAUGGGACGAACUGCCCUGACUAAGACAGACAUACACAAACUUGUUGUAGAACAGAUUUGAAACUACACCAUCGGGGGGAUAUUUCAUUGCACAAGUUGUUAAACUCCAAAUCAACUCUGUGAUUGGCAUGACAGAUUUUGCCACAUUUACCUUAUCGCUGCAGGGAAUUAUAACUUUUAAAGAAACUGAACUGUAUGUAUUAAUCCAUGCUUUUGUUACUUCUAGGUUAGACUACUGCAAUGCUCUACUUUCCAGCUACCUGGAUAAAGCACUAAAUAAAUUUCAGUUAGUGCUAAAUACGGCUGCUAGAAUCCUGACUAGAACCAAAAGAUUUGAUCAUAUUACUCCAGUGCUAGCCUCCCUACACUGGCUUCCUGUCAAGGCAAGGGCUGAUGUCAAGGUUUUACUGCAGACCUACAAAGCAUUACAUGGGCUUGCUCCUACCCAUCUUUCCGAUUUGGUCCUGCCAUACAUACCUACACGUAUGUUAGUCAAAAGAUGCAGGCCUCCUAAUUGUCCCUAAAAUUUCCAAGCAAACAGCUGGAGGCAGGGCUUUCUCCUAUAGAGCUCCAUUUUUAUGGAACGGUCUGCCUACCCAUGUCAGAGACGCAAACUCGGUCUCAACCUUUAAGUCUUUACUGAAGACUCAUCUCUUCAGUGGGUCAUAUGAUUGAGUGUAGUCUGGCCCAGGAGUGGGAAGGUGAACGGAAAGGCUCUGGAGCAACGAACCACCCUUGAUGUCUCUGCCUGGCCGGUUUCCCUCUCUGCCUCUAACCCUAUUACAGGGGCCGAGUUACUGGCUUACUGGUGCUCUUCCAUCCCGUCCCUAGGAGGGGUGCGUCACUUGAGUGGGUUGGGUCAUUGAUGUGAUCUUCCUGUCUGGGUUGGCGCCCCCCCUUGGGUUGUGCCGUGGCGGAGAUCUUUGUGGGCUAUACUCUGCCUUGUCUCAGGAUGGUAAGUUGGUGGUUGAAGAUAUCCCUCUAGUGGUGUGAGGGCUGUGCUUUGGCAAAGUGGGUGAGGUUAUAUCCUGCCUGUUUGGCCCUGUCCGGGGGUAUCAUCGGAUGGGGCCACAGUGUCUCCUGUCUCAGCCUCUAGUAUUUAUGCUGCAGUAGUUUGUGUCGGGGGGCUAGGGUCAGUCUGUUAUAUCUGGUGUCCUGUGUGAAUUUAAGUAUGCUCUCUAAUUCUCUCUUUCUUUCUCGGAGGACCUGAGCCCUAGGACCAUGCCUCAUGACUACCUGGCAUGACUCCUUGCUGUCCACCUGGCCGUGCAGCUGCUCCAGUUUCAACUGUUCUGCCUGCGGCUAUGGAACCCUGACCUGUUCACCGGACAUGCUACCUGUCCCAGACCUGCUGUUUUCAACUCUCUAGAGACAGCAGGAGCGGUAGAGAUACUCUUAAUGAUCGGCUAUGAAAAGCCAACUGACAUUUACUCCUGAGGUGCUGACUUGUUGCACCCUCGACAACUACUGCGAUUAUAUUAUUUGACCAUGCUGGUCAUUUAUGAACAUUUGAGUAUCUUGGCCAUGUUCUGUUAUAAUCUCUACCCGGCACAGCCAGAAGAGGACUGGUCACCCCUCAUAGCCUGGUUCCUCUCUAGGUUUCUUCCUAGAUUUUGGCCUUUCUAGGGAGUUUUUCCUAGCCACCGUGCAUCUACACCUGCAUCGCCUGCUGUUUGGGGUUUUAGGCUGGGUUUCUGUACAGCACUUUGAGAUAUCAGCUGAUGUAAGAAGGGCUUUAUAAAUAAAUCUGAUUUGAUAUGUACGUGAUCAACA